rnacentral:rRNA from 1 species
CCUACGGGAGGCAGCAGUGAGGAAUAUUGGUCAAUGGGCUUACGCCUGAACCAGCCAAGUCGCGUGAGGGAAGACUGCCCUAUGGGUUGUAAACCUCUUUUGUCAGGGAGCAACGCCGGCUACGUGUAGCCGGACUGAGAGUACCUGAAGAAAAAGCAUCGGCUAACUCCGGGCCAGCAGCCGCGGUAAUACGGAGGAUGCGAGCGUUAUCCGGAUUUAUUGGGUUUAAAGGGAGCGUAGGUGGAUUGUGAAGUCAGUUGUGAAAGUGUGCGGCUCAACCGUAAAAUUGCAGUUGAAACUGGCAGUAUUGAGUACAGUAGAGGUGGGCGGAAUUCGUGGUGUAGCGGUGAAAUGCUUAGAUAUCAGGAAGAACUCCGAUUGCGAAGGCAGCUAACUGGACUGAAACUGACACUGAUGCUCGAAAGUGUGGGUAUCAAACCGGAUCAGAUACCCGUGUAGGC